GACGAAGGGGGCUAGCGUUGUUCGGAAUUACUGGGCGUAAAGCGCGUGUAGGCGGUUGCCAAAGUCGGGUGUGAAAGCCUUGAGCUCAACUCAAGAAUUGCACUCGAUACUUGGUGACUAGAGGACCGGAGAGGAUAGUGGAAUUCCCAGUGUAGUGGUGAAAUACGUAGAGAUUGGGAAGAACACCAGUGGCGAAGGCGGCUAUCUGGACGGUUUUCUGACGCUAAGACGCGAAAGCGUGGGGAGCAAACAGG
rnacentral:rRNA from 1 species